UUAACACAUGCAAGUCGAACGGUAACGGGCCUUCGGGUGCCGACGAGUGGCGGACGGGUGCGUAACGCGUAGGAAUCUGCCUGUUAGUGGGGGACAACGUGGGGAAACUCACGCUAAUACCGCAUACGCCCUACGGGGGAAAGCGGGGGACCUUCGGGCCUCGCGCUAACAGAUGAGCCUGCGUGGGAUUAGCUAGUUGGUAGGGUAAAGGCCUACCAAGGCGACGAUCCCUAGCUGGUCUGAGAGGACGAUCAGCCACACUGGGACUGAGACACGGCCCAGACUCCUACGGGAGGCAGCAGUGGGGAAUAUUGGACAAUGGGCGCAAGCCUGAUCCAGCAAUACCGCGUGUGUGAAGAAGGCCUGAGGGUUGUAAAGCACUUUUAAUCGGGAGGAAUAGCGGCCGGUCAAUACCCGGUCGUCUGACAUUACCGAUAGAAAAAGCACCGGCUAACUCCGUGCCAGCAGCC
rnacentral:rRNA from 1 species